rnacentral:pre_miRNA from 14 species
CAUUCGAGUCUCUGGGGGUCACGCUCCCAUCCCGGACAAGCCCCCAAAUGAAAAAGCCAUCCCAAACUUUGGGGAGUCUCUCACUCUAGUCGCGGGAUGGAGUUCCCCAGGAAACGCGAGUAGCC